rnacentral:rRNA from 1 species
CAGUAGCCGCGGGAAUACGAAGGGGGCUAGCGUUGCUCGGAAUGACUGGGCGUAAAGGGCGCGUAGGCGGAUUGGAUAGUCAGGCGUGAAAUCCCAAGGCUCAACCUUGGAACUGCCCUUGAUACUGGGUGUCUUGAGUCUGGAAGAGGUGAGUGGAACUGCGAGUGUAGAGGUGAAAUUCGUAGAUAUUCGCAAGAACACCGGUGGCGAAGGCGGCUCACUGGUCCGGAACUGACGCUGAGGCACGACAGCGUGGGGAGCAAACAGGAUUAGAUACCCGGGUAGUCCCUGUCUCUUAUAC